UGGGGAAUCUUGGACAAUGGGCGCAAGCCUGAUCCAGCCAUGCCGCGUGAACGAUGAAGGCCUUAGGGUUGUAAAGUUCUUUUGUCAGGGAAGAUAAUGACGGUACCUGAAGAAUAAGCACCGGCUAACUUCGUGCCAGCAGCCGCGGUAAUACGUAGGGACCAAGCGUUGUUCGGAUUUACUGGGCGUAAAGGGCGCGUAGGCGGCGUGGUAAGUCACUUGUGAAAUCUCCGAGCUUAACUCGGAACGGUCAAGUGAUACUGCUGUGCUAGAGUACAGAAGGGGCAAUCGGAAUUCUUGGUGUAGCGGUGAAAUGCGUAGAUAUCAAGAGGAACACCUGAGGUGAAGACGGGUUGCUGGGCUGAUACUGACGCUGAGGCGCGAAAGCUAGGGUAGCAAACGGGAUUAGAUACCCAUGUAGUCCCUGAGCGGGCUGGCAAGGCGCAU
rnacentral:rRNA from 1 species